GACGAUUAAAACCGUUUCUCCCCCCCUCACUCCAUAAAUCUCUCCCAUAUCAACCACCCCUCCCUCUAUAUUAUUCACUCCACAAUCGGUCUUUCUUCUAAUCGUUCUCUGAAGCAAGAAAAACAAGACCAUUCUUUCAACUUCUAUUCAAGGUUGAGCUGCGACGAGGACGUGGUGGUGUUGAGCAAGUGAAUUUAAGAUAUUAUGGUUGUUUUUGAACCUUGGGUGUCGUUGUGUCUUCACACAUGACGUCACUCUUUCUCUUGGUCGUUUCCGCUGUGACUUUUCGGUUAUUCAUGUUUUAUUUGGGCCGACAACUUUAAUUGUUAGGAUAAUGGAUAUUCCGAAUUUAUUGUUGGAUACUAUUAAACUCUUGGUUAUUUAA